CCCGACGAAAACAAGAGGAAUUCUUUGAAGUGCAUUUUCUGUCAUCAUGUGUACACCAAUGGUAUUACUCGAAUCAAGCUCCACCUUGCAAACAUUCCAACUUCCGGUGUUGUUCCCUGUACAAAAGUGCCAGCUGAUGUAAGGGAUGAAAUCACUGAGUUUUUGACAAAGAAGGGUGAUAAAAAGGCAGCAAAAAUUUCAGAGCAGAAGAGGAUUAGAUGUGAAGUGGACUUGAGCCACUAAGAGGGGGAAGGUUCAAGUGAUGAAGAUGGCAGAAGCAAUUCUGUUGUUAUGCUUAAGUCGGCGAGAGGCAAAACAUCUAAAUCCUCAGGUGGGCCUAUGGAAAAAUUCUGCCAACUAUCUCCUGAAGAGGCUAUUGCUGCAAGGAAGGCAAAAUCUAGUGAGAGCAUCCAAUUAAAGCUGACAACUGGGGAGAGAGUGAAGAAAAGGAACCGUGCUUGUGAGUACAUAUGCCAGUUCUUCUAUGAAGCAUUGUGA
rnacentral:rRNA from 1 species